AGAAUCAACGCUGGCGGCGUGCCUAACACAUGCAAGUCGAACGAGAAAGUGGAGCAAUCCACGAGUAAAGUGGCGCACGGGUGAGUAACACGUGACUAACCUACCCUUGAGUGGGGGAUAACCUAGAGAAAUCUGGGCUAAUACCGCAUAAUACCUUCGGGUCAAAGGAGCAAUUCGCUUAAGGAGGGGUCGCGGCCGAUUAGUUAGUUGGCGGGGUAAUGGCCUACCAAGACUAUGAUCGGUA
rnacentral:rRNA from 1 species